UACUGCUAUUGACAAUAGUAUUUUGGGAAGC
rnacentral:piRNA from 1 species